rnacentral:rRNA from 1 species
GACGAACGCUGGCGGCGUGCUUAACACAUGCAAGUCGAACGGAAAGGCCCUGCUUUUGCGGGGUGCUCGAGUGGCGAACGGGUGAGUAACACGUGAGUAACCUGCCCUUGACUUUGGGAUAACUUCAGGAAGCUGGGGCUAAUACCGGAUAGGAGCUCCUGCUGCAUGGUGGGGGUUGGAAAGUUUCGGCGGUUGGGGAUGGACUCGCGGCUUAUCAGCUUGUUGGUGGGGUAGUGGCUUACCAAGGCUUUGACGGGUAGCCGGCCUGAGAGGGUGACCGGCCACAUUGGGACUGAGAUACGGCCCAGACUCCUACGGGAGGCAGCAGUGGGGAAUAUUGCACAAUGGGCGGAAGCCUGAUGCAGCAACGCCGCGUGCGGGAUGACGGCCUUCGGGUUGUAAACCGCUUUCGCCUGUGACGAAGCGUGAGUGACGGUAAUGGGUAAAGAAGCACCGGCUAACUACGUG